CCCCAGACGUAGGGGCAGGCAGUGGGAUACCAUCAUUCACACGAAGAGCCAGGAAGCAAAGCAGUUUGCCAAGUGCUGGUGACGCAGCCUUUGCGGAUGCUGCUUCCUCUGCUAGGACGCUCUGCUCUUCCACCAGCUUCUCCCAUGGCUGCUUUCCCAGUGAAGACUUCCUCGGCCACACUUCCCAAAGAGGAGAAGGAAAAUCUCACAAGAGGAGGAGAGUUGGCACAUUUCUAGAGGAACAGCCAGAAACAACAUGGGCUGUAGUUGAAAAUGAUCUUUUCUCAAGACAAAAAGGACUACCUUCAAUAUUCUCUCUUACCUUAGAUUGGAAUGGCCUUGCCAGAGCUGGACUGGAAUCCUACAAACUCGAAUCAAAAGCUGACUGGGUAGGUGGAGGGGUAAUAUGGGAUAUGGGUUGAGGUGCCAUUAGGCUAAGACCCGAUAACGACAACAACAGAAAUAAAACCACUAUCUGCCAAUAGGAUCUUUUCCUGAAAUGCACUGAGCUGAAUUUGAAGGGACUGUAAUAGAAAAUACUGAUUUUUCUGGGAGGCAACUAAAACAUAACUCACUAAUGCCCUAAACUCUUAACACUCUUGAAGAUUUAAUCACAGUGUAAAACCCACAAGUUUUUAUUGUCAGUGUUUGGAUAUCAACUGUACAACUCUCUGAAGCGGCAACAGUAUGAUCCUAGGUCUGUGACCAUUGCACAUCUCAGGGGCCUGCUGGCAAGGUCUGUCAGAUUGGUGCCCGGGUCUAGCCUAGUAAAUUCUUUCCAGGAGACUUAGGACAUACUCUCCCAGCUGCAAAGUUCUCUGCUUAUAAGGUACAGAAUUUAUUAGCCCAAAGAAAGAGAAAAAGAAAGCCUGCUACCUUUUAAAGUGCUUUUACAUAGUUUCUUUACUAGAGCUUGGCAUUUCCAGAAAUACAGCUGUGCAGAACAUUUGAGCCUUUGUACUAAAUCAAUAGGACUUGUUUGAGCUUCCAAUGAACCUCUGUGCCGCUACUACCUAUCAACCAAGGUGUCUCACGGUAGCUUUUAAAGAAAGUCACCUGUAUUAUCGCUCGUUUGGGGAGAACGAAGCCAUGAGAACUUGCAUCUUUAACCUAACACAUGGCCAUGCGAAGGUACAUAGAGAGCUGAUACGCAAUCCAGGUUUGUCCAGCUCCGGAAAUCAAACCAGUCUAGUCACCCACAGACCAUAGGUUUUCUUCUAGCCUAGGUUUUCUUCUCUCCAGUUCCUCAAGAUGCCUGUUCCCAUCUCCAGACUCAAUUCUGAGACAAACAGUGGCAUCAGACCACAGCACAGACACCAAAGAGAGUACUGCAAGAAAUAGUGUGGCACGGUGAAAAGAAAAUAGCAUUUAGAACUGAAAAACUCUGAGUUCCAGCUCUUACUACUUGUCUGACCUUAGAUAAGUCACUUAACAACUUGAAAGAACCCUAGUUUCUCUUCAGCAAAAUAAGUAUAAAUAGUCAUACUCAUCUCACCAGGCUCUCUUCAGAGCAAUUAUGACAAACUUUUUUAUCUUAUUUAUGUGUUUAUAUACUUUCCGUUUCUCAGUUCACUUCACUAGACUAUAAGCUCCAGGAGUUCAAGGACCUUGUCUUUUUGGCUCGUCACAGUGGCUGUUUGCCAGGAAUAGCGAUCAGCAUAUAGUACAUGAUCAAGAGGAGUUAAAGAGAUUUGAAUGUGUGAAGGAAGGAAUAAAGGAAAGACAGGAGGAAGGAAGGACAGAGUGUUUGGAGUUUUGCUGAUGUGUGGUAUAUGAAAGUGGUCUGUAAACUGUUAAGUAUUAUACACAUUAUUAAAUAUACAAAUAAUAUUUGGUGCAUUAAUUAUACCAGGGUGAUCUUUUAAAAAUGUAAGUUAGAUCAUGUUACUGCCCUGUAGAAAACCCUCCAAUGGCUUUUCAUACUACUUACAAUAAAAGUCAAACUCCUUUUAGCUUUCAAAGCCCUUCGUGAUCUGACCCGGGCUGGCCUCAUGUCCAGUCUCCCCCUUCCCUGCCAGGCCCCCAGCACUCUGGUGUUCUUAUGUUUCCUCAAACAUGCCAACUCUGUUCCUGCCUCGGAGUCUUUGUGCUAGCCCCUCCCCCGGCCUGAAAGCUCUUCUGCAAAAAUCUGCAUGUCUGGCUCCUUCUUGUCACUGGGCUCUUGGCUUAAAUGUCACCUUCUCAGAGAGGUCUUCCUUGUAUAUACUCUAAAGGAGUCCUCACUGACCCCCUCUUAUAGUAAUCCACUAUCUACUUAUUCAGGUAUCUACUACUAGUCUCUUCCCCAGUGCCUGAUGGUCAAUAAAUAUUUACAUUUGUGUGACAUUAUAUUUGUUCAGUGCUUACAUUUCAUAGAUGCUUUUCUAAUUAUUAUUUAUUUUAUCACCACAAGUUUAGGAGCUCAAAAGAAAGGACAAACAAAGGAAACCCCCUAUGGUUACAAACUGAAAAUUCCCUCUCACUCCUCCAUACCCCAGCCCCACAUACACUGAGAGAGAGGUAUCCUGGCCCUGUGAAUAAAAGCAACUGUGCCAGUCAGCUUUAAUAUUUGUGACUUAAUUGGAGUCAUGUACAAUCAGGGAUACAAUAAUUACUUAGUACUCUAACUAGAGGGAUUCUUUUGAGACAUGGCAAUGGUGCUGUUGGGUGCCAAGAUGUUCUCUGUUCUGGGCUUGGAGGCCUGGGUAGUGAGAAGAAUAGGGGGGUGGAAAUGGGCAGGGGGAAGCAAAUGGCAGGAACACUCACUGGUUCCAGUUGGGUUUGUUUACUGUGGACCCCAGGGCAGCAGUAAUUCUGUAGGAAGAUUACUGGACCAGGGCACAGAAGCAGGUUCUAGGGCUGGCUCUACAUGCCCCUCCCCCCCACCCCAGGCUAUCAUUCCCUCUGUUAUAUGAGGUGGAACUGGAUCAUCUCGAAGGGGAAUGCCAGCUCUGACAUUCUAUGGGUUAAUGAGAGGACUCUGACCUUUUAUCAUGACUAAGAUGUCUGUGAGAAGGAUAACUCAUGUAAUAUUUUUGAUAAGCACAGCUUUUCUGGACUAAGUGGGAUUUCUUUGAUUGGUCAAUAAAGUCACUGGACAAACCCAGAUCUCUGCUUUUGCCAUUCUUCUUUAGCCUUCCCUUUCCUUUGCUUUCCUAGAGAAGGUGAUACCCUGGGCAAAUCCCCUCAUUGUCACAUAGGGAUCAGCAUCUAGUGUAAGUGUACUUCAGCCACUUUCCAAGGGAUGGGUUCCUACUGUAUCUGAUCUUGGCCAACACUCUCCCAUCUGCUUUCAACAUGCUGCAUCUAACAUUAACUAAGUCUCCUAUUAGCAUUAAAAGAAAACAAUCUGGAAAAAUUCACUCAAGCAGAGUUCAAACAGGCCACAAGUAGAUUUGGAAUCUCAACAGCACAAGGUUUGUUAAAAUAAUAGUGGUAAGUAUAUAACUACAUAUAAAUGUAUAUAUGUGUAUAUGCAUAAACCCAUAUGUACAUACGUGUGUGUAUAUAUUGGGGUAUGUGUGGGAGGUGAAGCCAAGAGUCUGUAAAAUGGGUCAAGAAUUCUUCUGUUCAAUUUAUGAAAUUAACUGGUAACAGAAGGAGGAGAAAAAUUCUACCAGUGUGGAACAAAGCAUGAUCAAAA